rnacentral:rRNA from 1 species
UGGUAUUYUUGAUUUUAAUCAAAAAGCUUGAGUAGUAAACAGUUAUAGGCUCGAAACUUAAAGGAUUUGGCGGUGUUUUAGUCCAGUUAGAGGAACCUGUCCAGUAAUCGAUGAACCACGAAGAAUCUCACUUUAUCUAGUAUUAAACAGUUUGUAUACCGCCAUUAUCAGGCAUGCUCUAUAGGGUUUUGCUAUAAUAGGAAUCUAAUCCUGUUAAAUUAGGUCAAGGUGCAGCUUAUGGUAAAGGGGCGAGAUGGGUUACAAUUUUUUUUUUGGUGGAAAAGACGGAUAAAAAAAAAGAACUUUUUUUUUAAAGGCGGAUUUAAUAGUAAUUUUUGCUUAAUAUGCUAAAAUGAUAGUGGCUCUAAAAUGUGUA